GACGAACGCUGGCGGCGUGCUUAACACAUGCAAGUCGAACGGAAAGGCCCUGCUUUUGUGGGGUGCUCGAGUGGCGAACGGGUGAGUAACACGUGAGUAACCUGCCCUUGACUUUGGGAUAACUUCAGGAAACUGGGGCUAAUACCGGAUAGGAGCUCCUGCUGCAUGGUGGGGGUUGGAAAGUUUCGGCGGUUGGGGAUGGACUCGCGGCUUAUCAGCUUGUUGGUGGGGUAGUGGCUUACCAAGGCUUUGACGGGUAGCCGGCCUGAGAGGGUGACCGGCGACAAUGGGACUGAGAGACGGACCAGACUCCUACGGGAGGCAGCAGUGGGGAAUAUUGCACAAUGGGCGGAAGCCUGAUGCAGCGACGCCGCGUGCGGGAUGACGGCCAUCGGGUUGUAAACCGCUUUCGCCUGUGACGAAGCGUGAGUGACGGUAAUGGGUAAAGAAGCACCGGCUAACUACGUG
rnacentral:rRNA from 1 species